rnacentral:rRNA from 1 species
AUGAAUGCUGGCGGCGUGCCUAAUACAUGCAAGUCGAGCGAACGGACGAUAAGCUUGCCUCUCUGAUGUUAUCGGCGUACGGUUGUGUAACACGUGUAUAACCUACCUAUAAGGCUGGUAUAACUUCGGGAAACCGGAUCUAAUUCCUGGUCAUAUUUUGAACCGCCUGGUUCAAAAGUGAAAGACUUUCUUUCUGUCACUUAUUGAUGUAUCCGCGGUACAUUAGAUAGUUGGUAAUGUAACUUCUUACAAAUGCAACGAUGCAUAGCUGAAAUGAGAGGUUGAUCAGACAAGAUGGAGUGGAGAGACAGUACAGAGAACUACGGGAGGCAGCAGUAGGGAAUCUUCAGCAAUGGGCGAAAGCAUGACGGAGAAACGCCGCGUGAAUGAGGAAGAUCAUCGGAUAGUAAAACACUGUUAGUAGGGAAGAAAAUAUGUGUAAGUAAAUGUGCACAUCUUGACGGUACAUAAUCAGAAAGCCACGGCUAACUACGCG